AAAAAUCUAGGUAAUUUUGUGCAUAGUCUCCUAAAUAUGGUAAGAAAUCAAUUAAAUAUAGAAUUCUAGCAAAACUAGGAAAAUUGUAAAAAAAAUAAAAAAAUGCGUCUGAAAAUAACCAUGCGGUUGCAUGGUUCAAUUCCAUGCGGCCGCAUGGAAUUGAAGUUUAGCCCCCUUCAACUCUCGACCUAGGUCUGUGUGACCAUAGACCAUUUGUGCUGUGCAGUCGCACAACUUUAACUCUCCACUCUUUCU
rnacentral:lncRNA from 1 species